rnacentral:rRNA from 1 species
GAUCAUGGCUCAGGAUGAACGCUAGCUACAGGCUUAACACAUGCAAGUCGAGGGGAACGAUAGAGAAAGCUUGCUUUUUCUAGGCGUCGACCGGCGCACGGGUGAGUAACGCGUAUCCAACCUGCCACCACUUGGGGAUAACCUUGCGAAAGUAAGACUAAUACCCAAUGACGUCUCUAGAAGACAUCUGAAAGAGAUUAAAGAUUUAUCGGUGAUGGAUGGGGAUGCGUCUGAUUAGCUUGUUGGCGGGGUAACGGCCCACCAAGGCGACGAUCAGUAGGGGUUCUGAGAGGAAGGUCCCCCACAUUGGAACUGAGACACGGUCCAAACUCCUACGGGAGGCAGCAGUGAGGAAUAUUGGUCAAUGGACGAGAGUCUGAACCAGCCAAGUAGCGUGCAGGAUGACGGCCCUAUGGGUUGUAAACUGCUUUUAUAAGGGAAUAAAGUGAGUCUCGUGAGACUUUUUGCAUGUACCUUAUGAAUAAGGACCGGCUAAUUCCGUG